rnacentral:misc_RNA from 1 species
AUUAAAAAAAAUUGACCCGAAUUUUUUAAUUAAAAUUAAUUAAUUAAAAAAUAAUUUUUUUAAUCACGUGGCUUCCACAUCAGCCUAUCAUUAACAAUGUUAAUGGAAUAAAUACGAUGCUAACCUCAUUGUACCACUUUACAAUAACAACAAUAACUAAGCCCUAAUCCCAAACAAGUUGGGGUUAUAUAGAUUAUUUUUCACCAUUUAGCUUUGUUACACACCAAAUCCGCAUCAAUAUCCAAAAUUUGUAAAUCCUUUGACACCACUUCCCUCCACGUCAUUUGAGGUCUCCCCCUUCCCCUCUCACUUCUUCUUUCACUAACUUAUCACAUUUCCAUACUAGGGAAUUUAAUUUUCUACGUUGGGCAUAUCCAAACUAUCUUAAUUGAUCAUUUCUCAUUUUAUCUCCAUGCUACAUGCAUUAUUUGAUGGA